rnacentral:ribozyme from 12 species
UUUUUUUUUUUUUUUCAUUUUUUUUUUGUUUUUUUGAUUUUUUUCUCUUCGUUCUCUGAGAGCAGAGGGGGCGGUGUGUUGUGUGAAAGAAUCGGAUAGACUAGAUAGAGAUGUGUGAUU